rnacentral:rRNA from 1 species
AUUGAACGCUGACGGCAUGCCUUACACAUGCAAGUCGAACGGCAGCACGGGUGCUUGCACCCGGUGGCGAGUGGCGAACGGGUGAGUAAUACAUCGGAACGUACCUUAUCGUGGGGGAUAACGCAGCGAAAGCUGUGCUAAUACCGCAUACGCCCUGAGGGGGAAAGCGGGGGAUCGCAAGACCUCGCGCGAUUAGAGCGGCCGAUGCCUGAUUAGCUUGUUGGUGGGGUAAAAGCCCACCAAGGCGACGAUCAGUAGCUGGUCUGAGAGGACGAUCAGCCACACUGGGACUGAGACACGGCCCAGACUCCUACGGGAGGCAGCAGUGGGGAAUUUUGGACAAUGGGGGCAACCCUGAUCCAGCAAUGCCGCGUGAGUGAAGAAGGCCUUCGGGUUGUAAAGCUCUUUUGUCAGGGAAGAAACACCGGCUCUAACACAGUCCGGGAAUGACGGUACCUGAAGAAUAAGCACCGGCUAACUACGUGCCAGCAGCCGCCGUAA